rnacentral:rRNA from 1 species
AUGUUCGUGACGAACUCGUCCCAGCCGAUCCACGAGCCCCGCACCGCGGGGUCGAAGCUUGCCGAGAACACCCCGUACGGCACGCCCAGGAGGAGGCCGAAGAGCAGGAACGCCACCCAGACGGGCGGCUGCAGGUCGUCGAGCCCUGUGGCCGCGGCCGCCGCGCGCAGGGCCGCCUCGCCAGCCGCGGUGGCCGCGAGCGCGGCCGCGGGCACCCGCCGCGCCGUGCGCCACAGCACCUCCUCGGACUCGAGGAACGAGAGGUCGCCGCCGCGCUCCCGCCGCCCGACCCACUCGUCCCACUCCUCGUCGCUGACCGACGCGUCGGCCACCAGCAGCGACCCGAGGACGAACGAGACGAGCGGCAUCCACGCGGGCACGCGGUCGACGCCCGCGGCCUCGCCGAGGUAGCCCAGCAGCGCGGGCACCCCCGCGAAGGAGAACGCCGCGACGGCCGGGAGCUUCCAGAGCACGCCGAGGUCGGGGCUCCGGCCCGGGAGGUCGGCGUCGAGGAGGGACCGGAGGAGCUCGUCGUCCUCGCCGCCGAACACCUCCGACUCGUCGGCGAGCCCCGCGUCGACGAGGUUCUGGAGGAAGGUGCGGAGGUCGUUGUUGCUGUUCCGGUAG